rnacentral:lncRNA from 1 species
CCACUUGUCACAAGCAUGGAUCCUUGAACCAAGACAUCUUCCAAAGGAAGGAAAAAAGGCCAAGUUUCCACACAAUACCAUGAAAGAAGGGAGAAUGUAAUCAACACGAAUGGGCAACGGAGGACUUUUAUCAAAUUAAAAUCAUUCAUUCAUUUUGGGAGUUGAAAUAUACCUUUCAGCAAUCCCCUAAAUACAAUGAUUUUAACUCAACAAAGUCAAAUCAACCUUGACCAAGGCCCAACAACACAAGUC